CACAAGACACGAUACUCCAUUCAUCCUGGUUCGGACAAGAUGUAUUUGGACAUUAAGCAGCACUAUUGGUGGCCUAACAUGAAGGCGGAAAUCGCAACUUAUGUUAGUAAGUGCCUUACGUGUGCCAAAGUAAAAGUGGAAUACCAGAAACCUUCCGGAUUGUUACAGCAACCGGCAAUCCCUGAGUGGAAAUGGGAGGGGAUUUCUAUGGACUUCGUGACCAAGCUGCCCAAGACGUCGGACGGAUUGGACACCAUAUGGGUAAUAAUCGACCGACUGACGAAAUCUGCCCAUUUCCUGCCAAUCAAAGAGUCCUACAAGAUGGAGAGGCUGACGCGUUUGUACCUACGAGAGAUUGUAAGACUUCAUGGAGUGCCAAAAUCUAUCAUCUCGGAUAGGGACAGUAGGUUCACGUCACGCUUUUGGCAGUCGCUCCACAAGGCAAUGGGAACUCAUCUUGAUAUGAGCACCGCGUAUCACCCACAAACGGACGGUCAAAGCGAACGAACCAUUCAGACGCUUGAAGACAUGCUUCGUGCAUGUGUGAUAGACUUCGGAAAGUCUUGGGAUACCCACCUACCGUUGAUCGAGUUUUCAUAUAACAAUAGUUAUCAUUCGAGCAUUAAGGUGGCCCCUUUCGAAGCACUGUACGGGCGUAAAUGUAGAUCACCGUUAUGUUGGGCUGAAGUAGGUGACACCCAGCUAGCAAGAACACAUACGUCGGAUAGGGCAAUGACAGGACCGGAAAUCAUUCGCGAGACCACAGAAAAGAUUGUCCAGAUCAAAGCUCGAUUACAGGCAUCGCGUGACCGGCAAAAGAGCUACGCUGAUAAACGGCGAAAGCCCUUAGAGUUCCAGGUCGGUGAUCGAGUAUUGUUGAAGGUCUCACCCUGGAAAGGGGUUAUACGUUUCGGAAAACGAGGAAAGCUAAACCCACGGUACAUUGGACCUUUCGAAAUCGUCGCCCGAAUAGGUCCGGUAGCCUACAGACUACAACUACCCCCGGAGCUAAACGGUGUGCACCCCGUGUUUCAUGUUUCUAACCUGAAAAAGUGCCUAUCAGAUGAAACUCUUAUCAUUCCUCUUGACGAAAUCGAAAUCAAUGAGAAUCUCCUGUUCGUCGAAGAACCAAUCGAAAUCAUGGACAGGGAGGUGAAGCGUACUAAGCAGAGUCGCAUCCCGAUCGUGAAGGUACGGUGGAACGCAAAGCGUGGGCCAGAAUUCACGUGGGAACGCGAAGAUCAAAUGAAGCAGAAGUACCCUCACCUAUUCUAGUUUUCUCAAAUCUAGCUUUCAAACAGAAUUUCGGGACGAAAUUCCCUUUAACGGGGGGAUGAUGUCACAACUGUGAAUUUUAAGCUAUGUAAUCUAUACAUUCAAGUUAAUGUGAAUCAAAAACUUUAACCAAAUACAAGAUACAAGUACUAUAGAUAGUCAUCAAACAAUUGGAGACCCUAGAAGUUUUGGUUAAGUCCAUUUUGGACUAAGACUUCCUUAUUGGAUCCAAAUGGACCAAUAAGCUUCCAAUUGGACUAUCAUGGGUUUAGGACCCUAAUUGGGCUCUAAUUGGACCCACAUUCGUUUAUUUCAAUAUUUUGGGCUAGGUAGAACCUAGAAGGAAAUAAAACACAAGUUUUGAUCCAUAAUUAAACCUAACCUAGCUUAAUAAAGCACAAAAAUCACAAUUUUAUUUUAUAAGUCCAAUAAAUACCCUAAACUACCUCUAAUGUUGGGCUUGGGGGCAAAAGCCCAAAUUUUUCCUCUUUCCCUUCAUAUUCUCGGCCCAAGGCCCAAAUCCAAGGGGAAUUGACUAGUGUUGCCACCUCACUAUUACCUAAUGGAUUUCUAGGCAUAUAUCACAUACCUCCAUGCAUGUAUCACUUCAAGAGUCACUUCUUUCUCUCCUCUCUUCUUGCUCUCGGCCAAGCAUCAUCACACACACCAAAAUAUCUCAACUUUCUCUCUAGAACACUCAAAGAACUCUCCUUCCCUCCCCUCUCCAAAAAUCUCGAAAUUUAGGGACUUUCCAAGAGGAUUUUGCAAGUAAAUCAUCAUCUAAGGUAAGAUUAUGCAUAGAUCUAUGGUUUAAAUUCUUUUGUUAUCAAAAUCUCUUCCUAAUCCAUGUAAAAACCGUGAUCUUGCACUCUAGAAACCCCAUAAUCUCGAAAAGUUCAUCAAGGAGUGCAAGGGCCAAAAAUCACUUCAUUUCUUCCAAUUUUUCUUCAAGAACCGAAACUACCCACCCAAGGUGAGAUUCAUACCCCUAUUUUCUGUUUUUAAGAGUUUUUGUGGGGGGGAAUACAAGUGAAAGUGUAGAUCUAUAUGUAUUUGUAUGCCUUGUAUGAUUUCCAUGCUUAUAUGUAUGCUUAUAUGUGUUUUAAUGUUGGAUCUAGCCAUUAAACCCCUCAAAACCGAGAUAUAACUCAUGUUUUAUGAUAUUAGCUUCAAAUAUGUUCCUACAUAAUAAGUGAUACUAGAUAAAUAGCCAAGUGGUUAGCAACAAUUUUCUUUAAGCUAAAAACACACAUUUUGGGCCAAAAAUGUGAAAAAUACAAAAUUAAGGGCCCAAAAUGACAUUUUACAGAUUCUGAUGGUUGAAAUGUGUCAAAACAGUUUCAAUAAAGCUAUUUCUGGAAUUCUAUUCAAUUGGUGGAUUAAAAACAUAAAUUUCAAGCCUAUUGGGCUAAAAAUGUAAAUUUCGGCCCAAUAAGGCCCAUUAUGCGAAUUUUUCUGUUUUGAAGGGCCAAAACUGUGAAAUUCUGUAAAACAGUGGACUAUAAGUGUCCCAAACCCUUUUCAAAGGUUUAAAAUGCUUUUUAAAUUUAAAAAGGACCAAAGUUGCAAAAAUUUUCCAUUUUGGGCCAAAAUUGUCAAAAUUGCGAAAAGAUGGGCUAAAACCGAGAAAAACUGCAUUUUCAGGGACUUAAACUGUUUUCUUUGAAAAAUAUGCUGGAAAAUAUUAAUUUCAAUAAUUUUUGGUGUUAAAAUGUCAAGAAAAAUAGUUUAAGGACCAAACCGGGAAAUAUUUAAAUAAAAGGGUUGAAAAUGUAAAUUUUACAAAUAAUGAGGGGCUGAAAACAGAAAUAUUUCAAGGCUGAUUCAUUAUGUACAAUGUGAUCAAAUAAUGAUACCUCAACUACCAACGAAAUACAACUCAUUACAAUACCAAAAGUCGUUGCUAAACGAAUUGGCUCGGUCUCGAGCCAAUGGAAAUCUACAACUACUAACUCUUUGAUACAUACAAAUAACGAUUGGUAAUACACAUACAUACGAGUGUGCACAGACGUCUACGCACCAUCUUCGGGCCCCAAAAGUGUAAAAUCUUGUUUGUUGGGCCUAGCUAGCCCAAUGACCUGAUCUUAAGGCCCGAAGACAUUUUUUUUCUACGAAGUGUUGAGUUUUACCGACUUGGCACAACGUAGGGUGACUUUCAAUGGCUUGUAUCAUUGGACCCCAAGGGCCAUGGUAUUGCUAGAAAAGUCUACACAUUUUACGAGGCGGGUCGGGGACCCCUCGCACACAUUUUUCCCCAGCCGGUUAAUAGAGUUACCGGGGUCUUCGUGACCUCUUUCUCUUCGGAUGUGGGACCACUCAUAGUCCGGGCGAUUGGAUAACGUGAUUAGUACUGACGACGCCUUCGGGAAUCGUUGGUAUAUCUAUAAACCGGGCAUUUGUGUAAUGCGGGUUUGUAGUAAAUAAUCAAUGCUCGAGAACCUUCCAACGUCGCUUGGGACCGAUACUACUAUUUUUGUAAUGGUUUCAACGCAACUCAAUGGAUUUCAAAAGAACUAGGGGAACAUCGGGUUUCCCUAGGGUUUUUAUCACAUACAGAUUUUAAACGCAUACAUCUUAAAUGAACAAUUUUUGCAAGUAUAGAAACAAACAAGCAUACCUAUGGAUCUUCACAAACGUUUUUGAAAGCUUUUCUUUUCAGAAAAUAUCGGAUUUUCUGGUGGUUUUUCAAACAAUAUAAACAUUCGAUUUCAAACACUACUUAUGAACUCACCAACAUUUCAUAUGUUGACGUUUUUCAAAAUACUUGUAUUCUCAGGGAACCAGUGAAUCAAGGGAAAUCAUGCUCAGUGACGGUUGCAGUUUAUUUUUGAAUGAACCAAACAACAUUAAUUUUUGGAAAUGUAAUGUCUUAAACAAUGUAUGACAUGUAAACACUACUGGUUGUACUAUGUUGAUGAAUGGUGACGAAUGUUGUUUUGUUUCAUAUAUAUUCAAUGUUAUGGUAUUCAAUUGAGUCACGACAGCCCCCGGACGUUUCCGCCGUCUGGUUCGGGGGUGUGACAGGUUGGUAUCAGAGCUUUGUUUAUAGUGAACUAGCAUGUCGAGCCAUACAUUGAUAUGCAACUAUAAACCAAAAAGAGGGACUAACAUAACUCUGAACAAAACAAAUAAAUAAAAUACACUUGCUUGCAUUAGGAGUAAGGACCUAACGCUGAAUCAAACACCAUAAUACUGGUAUCUCGGUUAAUUCGGGACUGUUCUUAGUGAUACCAAGGAGUGAAUGUAGCCUGAUCAACUACAUUCUCUCCAAGGUAAAACUAACACAUGUCUUGAUGAGAUCGGAAUAGCCAGGGAACCUAAAAAUUUUACCCUAUAUCACCCAAAAAGAGAAUAUUUGCUUAGUCUGUGUAAUAGUCAUAGUACCCUAGGAAUAAUGUAGCAUAAUUACGUACUCGCGCAGACAGCAUGGCUGGUUUUCAUCACCCUGGAGACCCCUACUUCCCUAAUCAGGGAAACAACGGGUGGCUAGAGGAGGAGGAGGAGCCUGAGGAGGAGCAGCCGGGUAUCCAGUUUCAUCAGGCCUUAGUAGCUCACGGGAUGCUGGUGGAUGAGCCGGGAGAGAAUCCAGGAGAAGCACACGACGUCGAACCCGACGAAUAUAUAGACACCGACUACGAAUUUGGAGAGGUCGACGAUGACGACGAGGAGGGUCAGGUCGGGGGCCAGGACCCCAUCCCGCCAUGCGAGGACGAGGCACAACCAGAUCACCCCGCUCCACCAGUGAACCCCCCAAGGGAGAACCGUUCCCUCGAAGCUGAGAUCGCCGCACUGCGACAACAGCUGUAUGCUAUGGAAGCUCGGGCAGUGAGAGCAGAGCACGAGAGGGAUGAAGUUAUAGGAGACAUGGCAGAGAUGGCGCAGCUACUGGCGCAACAUUUCGGCAUAUGACUUCGGCACCACCUCCUGACGCAGCUCAUCGCGGUUAGGGAUAGACCUAUCGUAGUAGGAUAUUAGUAACUAUGUUAUGUACUCCGGCUCUAUGUUUAAGUGACUACACUACUCAUGGAGCCGUUAUGCUGUCGGAUUAGUGUUACUUAUGUAUGCUCUUACGAGCAAAUUUUCUUGUACUAAACACGGAUAAUAUUAAUAAACUUUUGUGUGUUUUGCUAUGAUAUUCUCAGUUGUUAUAUGUUGAGGCGUUAUGAUUGUAUGCUUGAUGAUAGUAAUGCUUAGGUUCGUACCCUACACCUAGUUAGUAGGAUCAUAACCUCACCGAAACCACGUACACUCAACAUCUUUCCGUUUCAUGACAGAAAGAUGCCUCGCCCAGCUACUCGCGGAAAUCCCGAACCAACCCCGCCCGAAGUUGACUCCACUGCUUUCCAGGCAGCCGUGUCUGCUGCGGUCACAGCAGCUAUGGCACAACUUCACCGAGGAAACAAUGGAGGAGGCAAUGGUCAAGGCUCCGGAAGUUCGAACAACGGGACGAACCAAGGGCUCACUAAAACGUGCACCUACAAGGAUUUUGCGAACGCUAAACCCCGAACUUUCAACGGCACUGGGGGAGUGAUCGCUCUAAAGCGAUGGAUCGAGAAGGUAGAGUCGGUGUUCGAGAUAUGCGAGUGCCCCGAGCAGAUGAAGGUGAAGUUCGCGGCCUGCACUUUUGUGGACCAAGCACUCACUUGGUGGAAUGGUCACAUAGAAGCUAUGACACUCCCUGUUGCCAACUCUAUACCCUGGACAGAAAUGAAAGAGAUGUUGACGGCUGAGUACUGCCCCCGAGGUGAAAUACAGAAGAUGGAGCAGGAGCUGUGGAAUCUCACGGUGCAGAAUGGGAACAUCGAUGCUUACAUAUCGAGAUUCAGCGAACUAUCCCUGUUGUGCCCGGGUAUGAUCACAUCAGAGGGAAAGAAGAUUGAACGAUUCAUCUGGGGACUGACAUCCCCCAUUCAAGGGAAUGUGAUAGCUGCUAACCCUGAAACGUUUGACAGCGCGAAGAGAUUGGCAAAGAGGCUAUAUGAUCAUAACCACAAAAAGGGCGAAAAACCAGUGGAGACCGAGAAGAAGAAGGAGGGGGAUGGUAAGAAGGGAUGGAACCACAAAAGAAAGGGGCGUCAGGGCCCCGAGACCUCAAAAAGGCAACAAACAGUGGCAGUUAACGCUGUUACUGCGCCGGUUCCAGUCACCUCACAUGCUCCAGCCUCAGCUGCUUCAAAUGCUUCAAGGCCCUAUUCUGGUAGCGCUCCCAAGUGCAAUAAGUGCAGUUUCCAUCAUCAUGGAGAAUGUAAGGAGUUCCAUUGCACCAGUUGCAACCGAAGGGGACACACUGCAAAGUUCUGCAGGACUUAUCCUUCUCAGAACCAGAGUCAGGGAAACAACCAGAACAACAACAACAACCACCGCAACAUCAACAACACCAAUGCCGGCGGCAACAACGCAGGGCCUAGCCACACCUGUUUCGGGUGUGGAAGGACGGGACAUUUCCGUCGAGAUUGCCCUAACAACAACAACUCAGGAAACAGAGGAGCAGGAAGAAUGCUGACUAUGGGUCAGAGUGAUGCAGUUCAGGAUCCCGCAGUUGUGACCGGUACGUUUCUCCUAAACCACACUUAUGCAUGCAUCUUAUUUGAUACCGGAGCGGAGCGAAGUUUCGUAAGCGAGAAGUUUAAACAUUUAUUAAAACAACAACCCCAGAAGCUAAAUGAAACCUAUACGGUGGAAAUGGCCAAUGGGAAAACCGAAUCCACUAGGGAGAUCUACAUCGGAUGUACCCUAACCCUUAACCAGCACGUCUUUCGAAUAGACCUAAUGCCAGUAUCAAUUAGGAGUUUCGAUGUGAUUAUCGGCAUGGAUUGGUUAAGCCCCCACCAUGCUGAGAUUAUGUGCCACGAGAAGGCCGUUCGCCUUCGUCUCCCAAAUCACGAAACCCUAGUAAUUUACGGAGACAAACCCAGUACGAAUCUUCGUCUCAUCUCGUGCAUCAAAGCACAAAAACAUCUGCGAAAGAACAAUUUGGCGUUCUUGGCUCACAUAGUGGACAAGACCAAAGAAGAAACUAACAUCCAAGAUAUUCCGGUAGCGUGUGAAUUUCCGGACGUGUUUCCUGAAGAUCUUCCAGGAGUACCCCCAGAGAGACAGGUUGAGUUCCGAAUCGACCUCGUUCCAGGAGCAACUCCUCUCGCUAAAUCACCAUAUCGGUUGGCACCUGCUGAAAUGCAGGAAUUGUCCAGCCAACUCAGUGAGCUUCUGGACAAGGGAUUUAUCCGACCUAGCUACUCGCCAUGGGGAGCUCCGGUGCUCUUUGUCAAAAAGAAGGACGGAUCUUUCAGAAUGUGCAUCGAUUACAGAGAGUUAAAUAAACUCACUGUUAAAAACCGCUACCCACUCCCACGAAUCGAUGAUCUAUUCGACCAGCUCCAAGGAGCUAGUUAUUUUUCUAAAAUAGAUUUACGGUCCGGAUACCACCAACUCAAAGUCCGAGAAGAGGAUAUUCCUAAAACCGCUUUCCGAACCCGCUACGGACAUUAUGAAUUCGUCGUAAUGCCCUUCGGUCUAACAAAUGCACCUGCCGCAUUUAUGGACCUAAUGAAUCGAAUCUGUCGACCGUUCCUGGACAACUUCGUCAUUGUGUUUAUCGAUGACAUCCUCGUCUAUUCUCGAAGCAAAGAGGAGCAUGGCCAACAUCUCCGACAAGUCCUAGAAACUCUGCGAUCGGAAAAGCUUUACGCCAAACUCUCCAAGUGCGAGUUCUGGCUCCGGAGUGUGAAUUUUCUAGGCCACGUAGUUAGCCAAGACGGAAUUCAUGUGGAUCCCUCUAAGGUCAAAGCUGUGGAAGGAUGGGCAACUCCGACUACGCCCACAGAAAUUCGUCAGUUCUUAGGCCUAGCAGGCUACUAUAGGAGAUUCAUCCAAAACUUCUCUAAGAUCGCCAAGCCGCUUACCUUGCUUACGCAAAAGGGCGUGCCAUUCAAGUGGACAGACCGACAAGAGAUUGCGUUUCGAACCUUGAAGCAAGCUCUCUGUAGCGCUCCUGUACUAUCUCUACCUGAAGGAACGGAAGAUUUUGUAGUCUACUGUGACGCGUCGAAUCAGGGCUUAGGUUGCGUUCUCAUGCAACGUGGAAGAGUGAUAGCAUAUGCGUCCCGCCAACUAAAGACGCACGAAGUAAAUUACACGACCCAUGACCUAGAACUGGGAGCCGUGGUCUUCGCUCUAAAAAUUUGGAGGCACUACCUGUACGGUACAAAGUGCACCAUCUUCACGGACCACAAGAGCCUCCAGCACAUCUUGAAUCAGAAGGAGCUGAACAUGAGACAACGAAGAUGGGUGGAAUUGCUAAACGACUACGAAUGCGAGAUCAAGUACCAUCCAGGCAAGGCCAACGUGGUAGCUGAUGCAUUAAGUCGGAAGGAGUACUCUAAUCGCCGUACGAAAACACACUCGAUAACCAUUCAAUCUCAUCUGGCCACUCAAAUUGCAUCAGUCCAGUCAGAGGCUAUGAAAGCAGAAAAUAGAACUAGCGAGGCAUUGCGCGGGAUGGAAAAGAACCUAGAAGCAAGAGAGAAUGGGGUAUACUACUUCAUGAACCGUAUUUGGGUCCCAAAAAUCGGAGGAUUUAGGGAGACCGUUAUGAAGGAAGCCCACAAGACACGAUACUCCAUUCAUCCCGGUUCGGACAAGAUGUAUUUGGACAUUAAACAACACUAUUGGUGGCCUAACAUGAAGGCGGAAAUCGCGACCUAUGUUAGUAAGUGCCUUACGUGCGCCAAAGUAAAGGUGGAAUACCAGAAACCUUCCGGAUUGUUACAGCAACCGGCAAUCCCUGAGUGGAAAUGGGAGGGGAUUUCUAUGGAUUUCGUGACCAAGCUGCCCAAGACGUCGGACGGAUUGGACACCAUAUGGGUAAUAAUCGACCGACUGACGAAAUCUGCCCAUUUCCUGCCAAUCAAAGAAUCCUACAAGAUGGAGAGACUGACGCGUUUGUACCUACGAGAAAUCGUAAGACUCCAUGGAGUGCCAAAAUCUAUUAUCUCGGAUAGGGACAGUAGGUUCACAUCGCGCUUUUGGCAAUCACUCCACAAGGCAAUGGGAACUCAUCUCGACAUGAGCACCGCGUAUCACCCACAAACGGACGGUCAAAGUGAACGAACCAUUCAAACGCUUGAAGACAUGCUUCGUGCAUGUGUGAUAGACUUUGGGAAGUCUUGGGAUACCCACCUACCGUUGAUCGAGUUCUCAUAUAACAAUAGUUAUCAUUCGAGCAUCAAGGUGGCUCCUUUCGAAGCACUGUACGGGCGUAAAUGUAGAUCACCGUUAUGUUGGGCUGAAGUAGGUGAUACCCAGCUAGCAAGAACACAUACGUCGGACAAGGCACUAACGGGACCGGAGAUCAUUCGCGAAACCACGGAAAAGAUCGUUCAAAUCAGAGCUCGAUUACAAGCAUCGCGUGACCGACAAAAGAGCUACGCCGACAAACGGCGAAAGCCCUUAGAAUUCCAGGUCGGUGAUCGAGUACUGUUGAAAGUCUCACCCUGGAAAGGGGUUAUACGUUUCGGAAAACGGGGAAAGCUGAACCCACGAUACAUUGGACCUUUCGAAAUCGUCGCCCGAAUAGGUCC
rnacentral:lncRNA from 1 species